ACUCAAAGGAAUAGACGGGGGCCCGCACAAGCGGCGGAGCAUGUUGCUUAAUUCGAGGCAACGCGAAGAACCUUACCUGGGCUUGACAUGCAGGGAAAAGCCGUAGAGAUACGGUGUCCUUCGGGGCCUUGCACAGGUGGUGCAUGGCUGUCGUCAGCUCGUGUCGUGAGAUGUUGGGUUAAGUCCCGCAACGAGCGCAACCCUUGUCCCAUGUUGCCAGCGGGUAAUGCCGGGGACUCGUGGGAGACUGCCGGGGUCAACUCGGAGGAAGGUGGGGACGACGUCAAGUCAUCAUGCCCCUUAUGUCCAGGGCUGCAAACAUGCUACAAUGGCCAGUACAGAGGGCUGCGAAACCGCGAGGUCGAGCGAAUCCCACAAAGCUGGUCUCAGUUCGGAUUGGAGUCUGCAACUCGACUCCAUGAAGCCGGAGUCGCUAGUAAUCCCGGAUCAGCAACGCCGGGGUGAAUACGUUCCCGGGCCUUGUACACACCGCCCGU
rnacentral:rRNA from 1 species